AGGGAAACCGAGUCUUAACUGGGCGUUAAGUUGCAGGGUAUAGACCCGAAACCCGGUGAUCUAGCCAUGGGCAGGUUGAAGGUUGGGUAACACUAACUGGAGGACCGAACCGACUAAUGUUGAAAAAUUAGCGGAUGACUUGUGGCUGGGGGUGAAAGGCCAAUCAAACCGGGAGAUAGCUGGUUCUCCCCGAAAGCUAUUUAGGUAGCGCCUCGUGAACUCAUCUUCGGGGGUAGAGCACUGUUUCGGCUAGGGGGUCAUCCCGACUUACCAACCCGAUGCAAACUGCGAAUACCGAAGAAUGUUAUCACGGGAGACACACGGCGGGUGCUAACGUCCGUCGUGAAGAGGGAAACAACCCAGACCGCCAGCUAAGGUCCCAAAGUCACAGUUAAGUGGGAAACGAUGUGGGAAGGCUCAGACAGCCAGGAUGUUGGCUUAGAAGCAGCCAUCAUUUAAAGAAAGCGUAAUAGCUCACUGGUCGAGUCGGCCUGCGCGGAAGAUGUAACGGGGCUAAACUGUGCACCGAAGCUGCGGCAGCGACGCU
rnacentral:rRNA from 4 species